rnacentral:ncRNA from 1 species
GUCUGACAAAGGCAACACAGCCUGAAAAGGUGUGACGCAAAGCCACCGGCCUGGAUUUUUUUUUGGGAGUAUGGCAGCGGGGUUUCCGGA